rnacentral:sRNA from 1 species
AUCAGGAAAUAUUCUUGGAGGUGGAGCUGGACCCUUGAGAAGCUCCGAGGGCCUGAUCCGGCGGAGACCCAUAGCAGAGGCUGGCAGGAAGCAGCGUGGGGGUGGGGGCUCCGGUCCCUGGGGUGGCGGGGGAACCUGGAUGGGCACAGUGAAGCCAGGCCUUGGAGGGCGGGAGAAGAUGGGAGAGGAAAUGGGGAGCCCCAUUGGUGCUGGAACAGAGUCAUAACUUGGCAGAAACUGGUAGGACUGCGGAAUCGCGGGAUCAGGAAGCGCGUAGGCACUCCCGGAGCGUGCAGGGCAGGUGCUGCUGGAGAGAGAGCUGGCCAAGCUGAGCGCCGAGCUGGACAAGGACCUGCGGGCAAUUGAGACCCGACUGCCGUCCCCCAAGGUACCAGCCCACAGGGUUCACCCGCGGGGCACGCCGGGGACCGCAGGGUCGGGGCGAGCCGGGAGCCUCGGCGGCUGGGCUGGGCGGAGGACCGGCAGCCGAGGUCCGGCCUCCAGAGGCGCGUACCGGCCUCGAGCCCUCCUGGGUGCUGGCGGGCUCGCUCCUCCAUAAAUAAAAUACAGGGCGUCGACUUUCGCAAGUGACCCCGAGGAGCCUUUCUAAGCGGACUCCACGUCAGCCCGACGCCCGGGCGCCCGCCCCGUCCCGCCCCCUGGCCGCAGCCUCGGGGACCCCCGCCCCUUCCCCUAGUU